UACGUAGGGUGCAAGCGUUGUCCGGAAUUAUUGGGCGUAAAGAGCUCGUAGGCGGUUUGUUGCGUCGGCUGUGAAAUCCCGAGGCUCAACCUCGGGUCUGCAGUCGAUACGAGCAAACUAGAGUGUUGCAGGGGAGACUGGAAUUCCUGGUGUAGCGGUGAAAUGCGCAGAUAUCAGGAGGAACACCGGUGGCGAAGGCGGCUCUCUGGACCGAGACUGACGCUGAGGCGCGAAAGCGUGGGGAGCAAACAGG
rnacentral:rRNA from 1 species